CAUUCCUUUCCAAAAGAAAUGUCAUAUUGAUAAGGCCGUUUAUGACGUUUAUGGUGGGUAUUUUAAUUCAUUUAUUAUCGAUAUAAAACAGCUACAAUUUACCCCCGCCAAACUCAUAAAUGCAUACAAAAUAUUUUGAAUUAUUAAUGUGUACUUUAAUUUGUUAAUUUUAGCUUUAUUUUCAUUUUGUCAACUUUCGUUUUGAACAAUAUUUUCUAGAAGAUAUGUUAAUAUGAACAAUGUUUUAUACGUAGGUCUUGAUAUCUUCGGACAACUUCAUUUGAAGGGGUAUUAAACUUAUGCAACGUAUACACUGUCUCCAGUAUGGUCAAUACUUGUAGACAACAAAAAAUAAAGAUAAAUGUGCUUCUGGACUUAAAACUAUACGAAUACUUUUGAAUGUUCAAAAUAUGUAUUGAUAUGAUGUAUAAAAAUACCAAUUCCUCUAGGUUUUCUAGAACAAAUUCAUCUUUAUCCAAAAUGCAUGUUUCACAUAACAUUUUAAAUUGGUGUUAAUAGUUUAUUGCAUAUUUAUCAGUUUGUACUUUUGGAGGAUGUUUAAUUAUUCUGAUCUUACAUAAUGUUUGCCUACCGAUAAAAUCGUUCGAUUCAAAAUAUUUGUUUGUACAAGAAAACAUUCCAUUGAAAUAUUAGACAAAGUUUUACCCAUAUCUGACUUUAAUUUCCUUCUCUGAUAUCUUUGCACUUAUUGGUAAUUCUUUCAGAUAAGUUAUCCUUUCUUUUUUUACAUAGUUGGCCAACUGGUACAUUAAAGUUUUAAAAGCUUGAUUUUUUCAUUAAAACAUUAAUGCUUAAAAACCAUGUCGUAAGAUUUUAAGAUGAAACUCUUUAUUUCUAACAAAUGCGUCUCAUGAUAAACCAUCCCUUAUAGUAAGUAACUUUGAGCGUGUUGAACGAUAAUGUAUUUUAGUUUGAAUGUCGUCUUCGUAUUAUUUUUUCUCCUAAAGUCAUCAAUAUUAUAUAUUGGGACUAAAUAAUUAGUGUUUAUGUCUACGUUUCAUAUUUUCUUUUUGUCGACUUUGGUUUUUGUAAGUCUAUCGUCGAUUAGAUAUAUGUGUAUCCCAAUAAAAGCCAAUGACAAGCAAAGUAAAUCGUUACAAUGAUUGUUUUUUAUAAUUGAGAGACACACAUAAUUGAUCAUAAUCAACCUAAUUUUAUGACCUUUGGUCACAACCAGAUCAGAGCAAUAAAAAUGUGUUUAAAAAGAAUAAAAGAAAGCAAAAUAAAAGGAUUAUUAGGCAAAUAUUCUAACUAGGUCACAUAAAGCUUUAUUGUAUCUGUUCUAUAUCCAGAUUGAAAUAAUUAUUUCCCGCAGUUUCAACAAUUGUCAAUAGCUAAAAACCCAACUGAACUUAAAUAAGCUUUUGUAUUUAAAAAAUCGAAAUAUUUACAAUCUUAAUAUAGAACUCUUUUCUUAUAAAAUUAUAAAUGAAAAUUCAUAUAAGAAAUGUUGAUCAUCUUCAACUUGAUCCAACAUGCAUGUUUUAGAUAACAGUUUUGCUGAGUGUGAAUUCGCAUUGAUAUAAGACGUGUCACGGUACUUGUCAUCCAACAUUCAUGUAUUUAGUGUGCUGCCCUGUGUUGUUUUACGUGUUCUUUUUUAUUAUUAGGUUAGGAUGUUGAAAUGCACUAUUGUGUUGUUAUUUCUCUGUCCUGAAUGUUGUUUGUUUAUUAUUUGUACUAUCUUCCUGUCAUGUAAUGGUGUCAUUUUAGUGUUAUAUUUAACAUUGUCAUAAAAGUGCGAGGCUUGGCUAGCCUCAAAACCAGGUUCAACCAACCAUUAUUUCAUAAAAAUGUCCUGUACAAAGUCAGGAAAAUGGCAGUUGAUAGCUCAUAGUUUGUUUCUGUGUCUGUUGCAUUGUCGUUUCGUUUUUGUUCACUUCAGUGUUCCUUUAAUUUCGUUGUUUUCCGCAUAGUUGAUGUGUCUCCCUCGGUUUUAGUUUGUAACCCGGAUUUGUGUUCUCAAUCGAUUUAUGACUUUCGAACAGCGGUAUAGUACUGUUGCCUUUAUUUAUAUGUAACUCUUUCUUACAAAUAUGUGUGUCACAUAAUUAAACAUCCUGUGGUAGAUAUGUUGGAACGUUUUACUAUAUUUAACAAUAGUUUUUCACCUUACCGCCUUCUUGUCUUAUUAUUUUCUCUUCAACAUUGUUUACCUUCCUAGAUGUUUCUUUUGUUUAUGAAAUAAUGUAUUGUGGUAACAUGCGAGCAUUAUUAUCAAGUACUAGUAGUAAGUAAAUAGUGUUGUUUAACGCCCUACACAUAUGAACCACGAUCUUUUCACAGGAACUGGGAUCUCAACAUACAAAUCAAAUGUUGAUACAGACGUCUGUCUUGACUCAAGGAACCAACCCCAGACAGAUAUAUAUUGAGUGUUGAAAAAAUCCCGUACAUAAAUUAUAGGAAAAUCAUGGCACAUUCACGUAUUUUCCAGAUAUAAGCAACGCACACAGUCUCUACAAUAACUCUUAACCACAAGAGAUCAUUCAUACAUGGAUGAUAACUUGUUAUACCGUCCGACAUUAAAAAGAAUGUAUGACCCAUAUGCAUUGACAGAUAAACUACUACAUAUUAUCAAAUAACCUCCUUAAAAUUAAACCCCAUUGAUAUAGUUAGGAAAAAACUCCUUCCUAAACCCAACCGUGGAUCUGCAUACCUAGUAGUGUUUGUUAUUAGCUUGGUAGUAUUGAUUUGUUCUGAGUUAGCAACUGUUAUAUCAGCCAUGCAGCAACUUCCGGUUUGCCGCGAUAGCUUUAUAUUUUACAACACGUGAUGUACAAGGAAUAUUAUAGUCAAGCUCUUCUUCGCAUAUAUGAUUGAUUAAUAUUUGAUCCUGAAGUAGAUUAUGUUGAGUAAUUUUUAUAUGUACCAUUCAUCCAGAAAGUUUACUUCAAUCAUUGUGCUUGUAAUCCAUUCGUCAUACUUUUCUUGGCUUUCAUAGAAAACAAAUAUCAAUUAUUCUUCGGUGUUCAUGUAACCUCCAGCAGUUGUAUGCAAAGCGACGCAAGUCCAAACCAUUUGAACCAGUCCAUGCGAAAAAGUACCCCAAAAAAAUACGGAAUUCUAAAACGUAUGCAUAAUUAUUGCUAGCAGACAUGUGAUUUAUAAAACACAUUUACUUUUCCUCAUAUCCUAAAGCUGUAAGCUAUACCCAUCAUGAAGUGCUGAGCCCCCCCCCCCCCCCCCCGCCCUUUGUUUUAUUAAGAUUUUAAAUGAACUAUUUCAUAUAUUGCAAUCCUUUUCAAAGCACAAUUUAAAUGUUUUAAUUUGCCAAUUGAUAAUGUUAACUCCGGCUGCAGUGUGGACAAUGCUCUCGCAUACUUUGCCGAUAUAAAUGCAAUCAAACCGGACAACGAUUCGAAUUCCGUACAAGGACGGUUGAUCUAUAUAAUAUAAUAUUAAAUAACUUUUAAUAACUUAACUUAAAUUUAAAUUUUAAUUUCUUAAACACAAGAUGACAUAGUUUUUGUAUUUUCCCUCAUGUUUUAAUGUUGUCUUACUUUCUUUAAAACUGUAGAACUGAUUAAAAUUAAUGACUUUUUGUCUAUAUAGUGUCGCAAUUUUUUAAAGUUUCUGGUCAGUAUAGUAUUAGUCCGGGGAACAAAUAAUUUUACACUUGCUCAAAAACCAUAAAAUAAGAUAUUUCUACGUCUUUUUCUGUUUUAAUUGACAAAUACGGUAUAGAAUAGACAAUUGUAUAAAUGUUUACAUUCAUGUAUUUUUGUUCGGAUAAAAUCGUUUUUCAAAAUUAUUUUAUAUAAGAAACUUUAAUAACGUGUCCUAUUAAGUUUGUCUAAAGGACUUUUUGUACCUUUUCGCAUGGACUGGAUCAUUUGUUAUGUUUUUGGCUAUUGCAAUGUUUGUUAAAUUGUACAUCCGAUUGUUUUCUCCUUGUUAAUGUCCUCUCACACCAACAAGAAGGAAACUUAGGUACACAUAAACGCACAUUGUGAUGUGCCCUAUAUUAAAUUAUAUAACACAAUCUAUUUUUUUUAUUCUAAUUUCAUGGUCCACUGAACACAGACAUGUGUUAAGGCGAGCGGCACAUGAUUUUUAAUAAAUAGACACAGGUUUGUUUUAUUUCAUUCUUUGAAUUUUUCCAACUUGACGUUAACCUAACCGUUAGGUAAAACAAAUUUAAUUAUAAACCUAUGGUAGUUACCUAUCAGAAUACAAUGUAUCCAUACAUCUUUUACAUAAACCUUUUUGUUAUAUUUUGCAGAAUCAUGGCCAGUAAUUUGAGAAUUUGUGGUGUAUGUGAUAAUAGUCAGAUAAGCAAACCAUCGGUAGUCUGGUGUUCGGAUUGUGAUGAAGGACUUUGCGGCGAUUGUAAGGAACAUCAUAGUAUUUCAAAGGGAACAAAAGACCACAAAACCGUUGCAAUUGCCGAAUACGGGAAGCUGUCAACCGAAGUCCUGCAAAAUGCAACAGUUUGUAAAUUACAUAGUGAGAAAUACGAGCUUUUCUGUAGCAGACAUGAUUGUCCAUGCUGCAAGAAAUGUUUAAAAUCUCAUACCGAUUGUCAAGCUUUAACCGACAUUAAAACAAUCAUAAAAAACAUCAAAACGUCGAAUGCCUUGUAUGAAAUCGAACAAAACUUGCAUGAAAUUGUCAAAAAUAUCAAACUAAUUACGGUCAAUCGAAAUGAAAAUUUAACAUUGCUAGAAAAGAAGAAAAGAGAUAUUGAAGCAGAGAUAAAACAAACUAGGACUGAGAUAAAUCGUCAUCUUGAUAAACUUCAAGAUGAUUUGAUGAAAGAAGUUAUUGCAGUUGAAGAAAAAGAAAGAAGUAAAAUACAAAAGUUGUUGAACUCUCUCAGCACGAAGGAAAAAGAGAUCAUAGAAUACCAAGGUAUAGUUGCUAACAUCAAACUACAUGCGUCCGAACUGCAAACAUAUUUGGUAUUGAAACAUAUUGAAAAAGAAAUUUCAGCAAAAGAAAAAUAUACUCAAUCGAUUGCAAUCGACACCAAGAGUCAAACCAACAUUUUAUUCCAAAUGAACCAAACUUUACAGGAACUCACGUUCAGCGUGCAUAAGUUUGGCGAUAUCACUGUCAGUUCUGAUCAAUGCGAUUCGUUGAUUCAGAACCAGAAGCACAGACAAGCCCAGAUAAUCAUAGCAUUUACAACCAGAAAAAUAGACAACCUUACUCUGACGUUAAAGACACGCAUCUCUACAGAUAUUUUUAACGCCAGUGGUUGUUCUGCGCUGCCUGACGGUAGGAUGAUACUAACCUGUGCUUACAGACAGAAGAUAUUAGUACUCACAUCUGACGGUUCAAAGGAUUUCGAAAUAAACAAAAUAGGUGACACGUUUGAUGUUGCAUUUAUUGGUGAUGAAUCGGUUGCCGUUACAUCAGGCUAUACAGAUCAGAUUAAGAUAAUCGACAUAAAGACGAAACAAGUGAAAAAAGCAAUUAAAGUUAAUAAAGAAAAUCAUGGAGUAGUGUGCAAGGAUGAACAUUUGAUUUAUUGUGCAGGUAACAGUGGCUUGAAGAUGAUUAGGUUAAACGAUGAAUCCAUUACCUUUAUUUCCUUCAACAAACUAUCACAAUAUGCAUACGUUACAACAUUUGGUGACAAACUGUUCUACACAGACCCACACAAUCACCGUGUAAUAUGUUGUGAUUUCCACGGUAAAAUACUGUGGACGUUCCGUAACUCCCUUGUUCUUGGGUGUCCUUAUGCUAUUUCAGUAGACAUUGAUGGUAUCGUGUUUGUAGUGGGAAGGAUAACUCAUAAUGUGGUCGCCUUCUCUCCUGAUGGACAACACUUUAAACAAAUUUUAUCAUCCGACGAUGGACUGAACUAUCCGCAGGCUUUGCAUUAUGACCAAGCUAACAAUACACUGUUGGUUGCAAAUCAAAUGCAAAAAGCGUGGUUGUAUGAUGUUAAAUGGUAAAUAGCGAUGUUUGAUAUUUUAUGUAUUCAGCUUUAAAAUAAAGUCUUUCGCGGUUCUGAUUUUUUUCAAAAUUACAUGUCUGAUAUGCUUAUUGAAACUCAAUAUAUAUAUAUAUUUGGUGCAUAUAGUACCAGGUACAAGUUCAUUAAUCAGCAACCGUGUAUUGUUUUAUUAACAUUUUUAAAGAAAAAUCAAAAUGUUAAUGUCAACGUUUCAUAUUUUUCUUUUUGUCGACUUUGUUUUUUUUAAGUCUGUUGUCGACGGUUGGUAAAGUGUUCAGCUAGGAUCGAGGUUUUUCGAGUGAUUUGAUCGGGCUUUUUCGAGUGUGAUCACUUUUUGUCGAGUGAAUAAGAACACAAAUGUAAACAAACAGACUUCAUUUCUAACAAGACGUGAUAUAGACGCUUGUGUUUAAUAUACAAAGUUAUAUUAUGUACGAUAGUAUUUGAUAUAGAAAGAUAUUACUAACCCGACAUCAUUUUUCGUUAAAAAAGUUAAAAUUAGCAUUAAAAUGCUUUAAUUCCAAAAUACAGAGUAAAUCCGCUUUUAUACACAUAACACUAGCUGCUAAAGCUGAAGGAAAUUCAUACGUGAAAUCUAUAUAUCAUUAGAAAUACAGACACUUUGCACAAAUUCUUGUAAUUUCAUUGAAAACGACAUUUUGACACUAAAUUUAUUUAUUAAUGUUCGGGUUUUUUUCGAGAGCAGUCUGGGCUUUUCGUGUGUGUCCAAUUUUUUUUGAGUGAUUAAACAAAUUGCCUAUAGUUUAAAAUGCUAUUUUUUCAGUGUAUUUACGAUUAAAAAUGAUAAACAAAGUUUCAAGUACUUUUCCAGGCAUGAACCAUAGUAUCCGUCAGAUUGAUAAUGGUGUUCUAACACUUACAUGUUAUAAAUAUUCG
rnacentral:lncRNA from 1 species